rnacentral:lncRNA from 1 species
ACCCAGCGCUGUCACAACAAGAAGGGGGCCAGCUGGAGCCCGCCCACGUUUGACCUCGGUCAUUUGGCAGAAACCAGACUGCAGGGGGAGUGGUCAGAAAUGUAAACAGGUCCAGCUCUCUCCCUGCCUUGGCAGUCUCUGUUGUCCUUGGCCCGCUGUGGGUUGUCACACAUCCUGGACAGGGCUGGUGGGGAUGGCAGAGCUGCAGGACCCCUUUCAAAUCUUGCUUUCUUUCUUCUACCCCCCGCCCUUGGCACCUGGUCCAACACUGGGCACCUGUGGGCCCCCUUCCAUCAGUGCCUUUUCACGGGUUGGUGCUAUAUGCUCCCUUAUUCUGAGCUCAAGUAAUCCGUAAUGAUAGAAGCUCCGUGGAACACCUUGCCGUCUUUACUGAGUGCUAAUUUGGUUGGAAAGUCACACAGAAAAGAGGUUGCUAUUGAAUAACCACGUGUGGAAUGAUCUUCAUGCAUCCUUUGGAAAUCAGCCACUCCAAUGUUCAAAAAGGAUAUGAUUUCAGCUAAGCCAGAUUUAAUUGAGAGGGUAGAUUUUGAUUUGGGCGUGAGAUUGAUUGGAUGACCUGAAGCUGCUUUACCUCUCAACUGGGGUGUUUCAUGAACGAGGUCCUAGUUUGGCCGCAGGAGGACUUGUCAUUGAGAAUGUCUAUACAUGUGUGCUCGCUCGCCUUUGUAUAAAAGGGGCUGCUUAAUCAGGUGGGACUUCUGAGUUGUUCUUCCAGGGACAGAAAUGCACCAACCUGCUCUGGUUGCUCUCCCUUGCUGUCUAAAACACAUGCCUGCCUCAUGCCUUUUUGAGACAGAUGUUCAGGGCCGGGGUUAGUGUCUCUGGCCAAGGAGCCAGAGCAAAGAUAUUUGGUGGAUCCAGCAUUUGGCUCCACGACUGUGCUCUGGUUAGCCCUGUUCCUUAGUUGUUGGGCCUCUUAACACAUUUUGUGAAGCCGAACUUUAGUACAGGUGUUUACUGAAAACGGGAUGUGUACCGUGGUCCAAAUCUAUUAGACGCUAAAAGGAUUCACCUUGUUUAGAUGCCUGGUACUAGCUUCUUCCCUACCCUCCAGCUGCAGGGGGGCCCCCAGAUUCCCCAGAGCCACAGUUACUCUGCAGUUCUGCUCUCCAGCUACAGCCAGACCAAGACAAAUUUCAGAGCGGCAGCGACUUGUUUAGCAUAGUGUGUGCCUUGGAUGUUGGAAAAUGGAAACAGAGGAGUCAGCAUCUACUUGGUGGGACCCAGCCAGAUGUCAGAGCUCAGAGUGGACCAUCCCAAGCGCCUGGGGACAAAAAGACUUCAAAGAAUGCCUCCCCACUCAGCAGUUGGGUAAUUGGUCUUUUUUCCCCUGCCUCUGGUACCCUGCAGGCACUCCCGGACACUGGAUUUCAGGGAAGGUCCAUUCUUGAGUUAUCCCUUGUGAAGUUCAGCAAAAUGGACUCUCCAGUCAGAACUCAGUUGUCUCUUAGACCUGGUUUGUAUCUUCCCUGAAAAAAACGUGAUCAUCUCAUGCUCAUUUAUCCACUUCUGUAGCCAGAGUCCCCUGGACACACUGUGUGUGUGAGAGAGAGAGAGGAGAGAGAGAGAGGUUGGAGCCCACUUUCUUUGUACCUUUAAGUGAUUAACUCUGCUUAGACCCACACCAGCCUCUGCAGUAGGAAAGAAAGGAUAACCUGGACGUGCUGGCUGUGCUUGAUCCUAAAUGCUAAAGCCCUGUUAGCUCCUGGAGCAGGAGGGCCCCAAAGAAAAGUUAGUGUCGUCCUUGCUUCUCUGAUUAACACGAUGGGCCAUGACUGGGUACGGCUGUAUCUCCUGCAUGACCAGCAUCCCGUACGAUUCCAUGACACCCAAUCAGGAAAGCUCGGGAGUUGGAGGAGAGUGGGGUAGGAGGUGAGAACACUUGGUGCUGUAUGCUCCCGUCGUUUCUCCUAGUUCACUGGGACAUAAAAUGUGGUGGAGACUGCGUGGCGGCAAAAGUCUUAAGGUUAGAGACUGAUGAUGCCAUAACCCGAUUAUUUGAGUGAGUGAAAAUGCUGUUGCUCAGAGCCCCAGGACACCCCAAGUUCUUUUUGUUGUUGUUCAGGGCUGCACCUGCAGCAUAUGGAAGUUCCCAGGCUAGGGGUAGAAUCGGAGCUGCAGCUGCCAGCCUACGCCACAACCACAGCCACACAGGAUCUGAGCCACAUCUGCAACCUACACCACAACACACGGCAACACCGGAUCCUUAACCCGCUGAGCGGGGCCAGGUAUUGAACCUGCAUCCUCAUGGAUACUAGUUGGAUCCAUUUCCACUGCACCACUCUUGUCUGUAGGUUCUUGUCCCAAGGGAGCCGAUGGGUUCGGGAGCUGCUCCAGACUUGGGGCUGGAAAUACGUUCCCAAACUGGAGAUUUCACUGAAGGGCACACCGCCUUUGUACUAGACUGUCUGUAUCUGGGGGUAGAGGUGCGUAACAGGCCCUCUGAGCCUGCACGGGGACAGGUAAACAGGGAUGCUGAAGGAGUGGAAAUGCAUUGUAAACAGUUCUUUAGAAAUGAGUCCCACGGGUGCCAUAUGAAACUGGCUCUGUUUGCAUUUGAAGCCUGGCUGCUGGGAAUUCUAACCAGUACAACACUGUUGGAAGACAAUUUGUAAAUAUUUAGCAAGAGCCUCUAAAAGAUUCAGGUCCUUUGAACUAGUGAUGAUUUUUAUAGAAAUCAAUUCAAACUUUUAAAAGUGAUGCUAAUCACCAAGAUACAUAUUUCAGCAUUAUUUAGCUGAAUUGGAAUUGAUCUAAAUACCCAUUUGUAGGGGAAUGGUUAGGUAUGUUUGGCAUGUUAUGCAGCCACUUAAAAUUUAGUUUAUAAAGACCAAUAUUAUAACCAGUUCUUGUGCAACAACAUUAAGUGGAAAGGCAGGAUACAGUUGAAAGUUUUUACAAUGCGUAAAAUAAAAAACUAGAAAUAAAUCCACCCAAAUGCUAAUAACAGCCAUGCUGGAAAAUGGGAUAAGACGUCAUUUUUUUUUUUCUGUUUAUAUACCUCUUUCUAAAAUUUGUCUAUGAGCAUUUAUUGCUUUCCAUGGGAAAAAUUAAAUGUAAAAAUUAGAACCUCAGAGAAUUGUUCGAAUAGCAUCAAGAUUUGAGAGCAGAGAGAUUUUAACAUUAUCAAUGGCCAACCCCAAGGUCUUUAGCCAGCCAGCCAGUUAACUCAGUGGUAAAGGGGGGUCUUUCUCUGAGCCUGUCCAUGGCUUUGCUGGGUGGCUGGACCAUCUCUUGACACGUGCAGUGAGGAGGCCUCGGAGAGAUGACCUGUGAGUCAUCGCACAACCCAGUAGCCAAUCAGAAUGUAUUAAGGGCUCCCUGUGAAGGAUGCAUCCUGUUUUGAACUAAGAAUGAUAUAGAAGGUCAAAGGGAAAAUGUUGCCCAAGAGAACCUGCAUUCUUACUUAAGAGAUAAAACACUCCUAAGACUUUUAUACACAUAAAACCGUUCAGGAAUGUCAGUACGUUUUUGGACAGAUACUACUUAUAACUAGAUUUGUGUAUAUAUUUGUGUGUGGGUAUAUGUGUAUAUAAGUAUACACACACAUAUGCACAUUCACACAGACACAUUCUGCGAACACUCAAAUAUAUUGGUAGCUCAGACAAUAUACGGUAAUUGUGCAAUGGAAAAUAAGCACUUAUUGUGCUGUUAGUAGUAUUGUCUUUGAAUACAAAGAAUGGCUUUUCAUCGUAGAGCAUUUCAAUUGCAAUGACAAUGAUUGCAGACCAGGCCCACACUCGCCUCUCUUAUUAAUGAGUUGAUGCCGUAGUGCUCUCCAUUUGCAAAAUGCCACACAUAGCAAUUUAAAAAUCUUGAUCAUUUCACCAGAAUUAACGAGGCCUGCUUCGUGCGAAAGGCUCCUGGCAGGCUUGGGGAACCCUGCCACAGGUGUCUGGUUCCUGAUGCUCACCUGGAUCCCGCCAGGUGGGUUGGAACAGCUCUCUUUGUUUUCCUGAGGAAGGCACAGAGCAUAGAGCCGGCUGCGUGACAGAUGGGAGUCAGCAGCAAUGCGAUUUUGCUUCUGUGCUGUACCCCUCAGCUGGUCAAAUAUUACCCAGGCAGACAAGGCAAACCACCACCGAGAGGCUCUGGUUCAAGCCAAGGCCAGCCUUGUUCUGACCCCUGAAAUCCGGCUGCGGUCUAUGCGCUCCUCCGGCUUCCUCUUCUUGAGGCUUCAGGGAAAGAAGGUACCUCCCACCUUUUUUGCUCAUCCAAGAGAGCAAAGGCAGGCACCUCCUUAGAAAACGCACCUAAGGCUCUAAUCCCUAUACCCUGCACAGAAAAGAGACCCCGGCUUCCCUCUCCCUUGUCUUUUCGAACCCUUUUUUUUUUUUUUUUUUUCCUUUUUCUCCCUCAAAGCAAGCAGAGAUAGUAGUAUGAAUAAUUGAUUGUGAGAUGCUGCAGUGACUAACAGCUCUGGUUGGACUCUCUGGCUCAGGAAGCCUGGAAAGGUGCAAGGGGAGGAGAUCUGAAUGACAACCAGGCCUGGAGGUGCUGCGGGGUUGGGGGGGGCACAGAGCCCUGUGACCGCCUGGCUGGGGCUGGGUCCUUGGACAGAGGGCUGUGCAUUGGACAAGAGGGGCGAGUUUUGGGAAAGUUCUUCUGUGUUCUAAUCCAAUUUGGAUCACACCAGGCGUGGUCUGCAUGUUUACCCCAGUGUGUGAGUGUGUGCAAAGCAGAAUAAGGGCUCCUAAAGAAAACAAAACAAACCAAAAAAACCCCACUGAUUCAUAGUAUACAAUUUAGGAAAAUACUGGUACCUGCAGCCCUUCCCUCCCCUCCUUCCUAAAGACAUGGUGAGACUGGAGAUGUGAGUUUGAAUCCUGUUUCUACCUCAUACCAGCUGAGAGACUUUGCAGGAGUCUCUGAGCCUCACUUUCCUCAUCUAAAACAGGGAUAAAAACCAACCAACCAGCCACCCUCCACACCAGUUUCAUGUACUGAUGUAUGUACUAUAUGUGAUUAUGCUUGGAAGGUAGGAGACUCUAUCAUCUCGUAUUGGAAUAUAAAUAUAGCUGGUGGUAGAUAAAAUUACCUUGCAGCUAAGCAAAACUGAUUCAGAUCUGUUGUGGAAAUACGAGUAUCCGGCCCAAGAGCUUUCCUCACUGUCCUCAGUAACCUGAUCUGAACCUUAGUCUGAACCUUCAUGACAGGUAGUUCUUCCAGGUGGCCCGCCUAGUUCACUCCAGUUGGAAUGAAUGCCCCUGAGGCCGUGGCUCCUGGACCAGCAGCAUCGCAUCACCUGGGAACUUGUUAGACAUGCACAUUCCAGACCCAGGCUUACAGAGAGAGGGAGUCUGGGGUUGGGGAAUCUAGCCAUCGGGCUUGUAGCAAGUUCUCCAGGUGAUGUUGUGGCUCGCUAAGGUUUGAAAGACAUUGCCUUAAGGGACUGUCUCUCUUGACUUUGCCAAGAACCAUCAGGGCUCCGUCCCCCAUGGCCCUUUUCCCGAUGCUUUAAAUCUGUCCUAGCUCCUUUGCAGGCUCUCCACAAAGGAUGGCUAUUUCCUGGAUUCUUGGAAUGUUGGCAGGUUUCUUAAAACUAGGAUUAGGCAAUUCUUCAAGGCUGGCCACCCUCCAUGCUUAGGCAACACACUAAGGGAUACAGGGCCAUAUCACCUCAUCUGCCACCUCCACGUCUCCCUGUGUCUCUGGGCAGGUUCUCAGGUCCAUCCAUCUGCUUCCAGUGCCACGUUCCUGCCAGGGACUAGGUCGGUUGAGUCAAGAGGGCUGCAGUAUUGCAGAGGAGGAAAAACAAGCUCUCAGGGGAGAAAAGCUGGCCAACGCUGCCUCCUGGUUAUUACCACGGGGCCCGCUGCUGCCCUUUGCACGUGACUGCAUCGCUGCAAAUUCCACAGGCUGCUCUCUGCGGGGAGUUGGGCAAUAGAUAACAACUGUCCGGAGAGUUAUUUCUUUGGUAUUUUGGUUCAUUAAAAAAGUUGUCUGUGGUUCCCAAAAGCUCCAAGGGGAGGGGCUGCUUCUACUUCUGGAAUCCCAGAUGGGAUUUCAACAGCUCUCAACCAGUUCUUAAGCCAUAAGUUAAGUCAACACUUUUAAAUUAUGUGGUGAGCCUACCUUGGGGGAGGCGUGGGUGUGCGUAGAGGAGAUGGUAGUGAUUGGCUCCAAGAUCAUGUGUACAGAUAGCAAAGGUCGGGCGUGAAUUAAUUGAAAAACUGGUCUCCACCACAAAGCCUUGAACUCUAAAGAUGGUGUGUAGACUAAGAAGAGCAAUCCAUCAGAAGCUAUCUUCCCCCCUGCCCCACUGUACAGCAUGGGGAUCAAGUUAUUCUUACAUGUAUACAUUUUUUUCCCCCACCCUUUGUUCUCUUGCAACAUGAGUAUCUAGACAUAGUUCUCAAUGCUACUCAGCAGGAUCUCCUUGUAAAUCUAUUCUAAGUUGUGUCUGAUAACCCCAAGCUCCCGAUCCCUCCCACUCCCUCUCUCUCCUGUUGGGCAGCCACAAGUCUAUUCUCCAAGUCCCUAUCUUUCAUUGCUUGGAAAAUUGGCAGAGUUAAUAUGAAGUGCUGUCCCCUCGAUUUCAGGAAGCCGGGGUUCUGAUAUUGACUCUGUCAUUGAUGGUUUGUGACCUUGAGCAAGAUGGUUUCUUCAUUCAUUCUUUUAUUCUUUCCUUCCACAUUUGAUUAACACCGAUUAUGCUCUUGGCACCAGGCUGGUCAAAGAGUCAAGCACCCACUUGUUUAAAAACAGCCCAGGAGUUCCCAUUGUGGUUCAGCAGGUUAAGAACCCGACGUAGUGUCUGUGAGGAUGCAGGUUCUAUCCCUGACCUCACCCAGUAGGUUAAGGACCCGAUGUUGCCAUAAGGUGCGGUGUAGGUUGCAGACGUGGUUUGGAUCUGGUGUUGCUGUGGCUGUAGGCUGGCAGCUGCAGCUUAAAUUCAACCCCUAGCCCAGGAACUUCCAUAUGCCAUGGGUGUG